rnacentral:rRNA from 1 species
GUCGACGAUGAACCACUUCGGUGGGGAUUAGUGGCGAACGGGUGAGUAACACGUGGGCAAUCUGCCCUGCACUCUGGGACAAGCCCUGGAAACGGGGUCUAAUACCGGAUACUGAGCCACUUGGGCAUCCAAGUGGUUCGAAAGCUCCGGCGGUGCAGGAUGAGCCCGCGGCCUAUCAGCUUGUUGGUGAGGUAAUGGCUCACCAAGGCGACGACGGGUAGCCGGCCUGAGAGGGCGACCGGCCACACUGGGACUGAGACACGGCCCAGACUCCUACGGGAGGCAGCAGUGGGGAAUAUUGCACAAUGGGCGAAAGCCUGAUGCAGCGACGCCGCGUGAGGGAUGACGGCCUUCGGGUUGUAAACCUCUUUCAGCAGGGAAGAAGCGAAAGUGACGGUACCUGCAGAAGAAGCGCCGGCUAACUACGUGCCAGCAGCCGCGGUAAUACGUAGGGCGCAAGCGUUGUCCGGAAUUAUUGGGCGUAAAGAGCUCGUAGGCGGCUUGUCACGUCGGUUGUGAAAGCCCGGGGCUUAACCCCGGGUCUGCAGUCGAUACGGGCAGGCUAGAGUUCGGUAGGGGAGAUCGGAAUUCCUGGUGUAGCGGUGAAAUGCGCAGAUAUCAGGAGGAACACCGGUGGCGAAGGCGGAUCUCUGGGCCGAUACUGACGCUGAGGAGCGAAAGCGUGGGGAGCGAACAGGAUUAGAUACCCUGGUAGUCCACGCCGUAAACGGUGGGCACUAGGUGUGGGCAACAUUCCACGUUGUCCGUGCCGCAGCUAAC